AGCGAACGCUGGCGGCAGGCCUAACACAUGCAAGUCGAACGGAUCCUUCGGGAUUAGUGGCGGACGGGUGAGUAACACGUGGGAACGUGCCCUUUGGUUCGGAACAACUCAGGGAAACUUGAGCUAAUACCGGAUGUGCCCUUCGGGGGAAAGAUUUAUCGCCAUUGGAGCGGCCCGCGUCUGAUUAGCUAGUUGGUGAGGUAAAGGCUCACCAAGGCGACGAUCAGUAGCUGGUCUGAGAGGAUGAUCAGCCACAUUGGGACUGAGACACGGCCCAAACUCCUACGGGAGGCAGCAGUGGGGAAUCUUGCGCAAUGGGCGAAAGCCUGACGCAGCCAUGCCGCGUGAAUGAUGAAGGUCUUAGGAUUGUAAAAUUCUUUCACCGGGGACAAUAAUGACGGUACCCGGAGAAGAAGCCCCGGCUAACUUCGUGCCAGCAGCCGCAGUAA
rnacentral:rRNA from 1 species